AACGCGAAGAACCUUACCUGGGCUCGAAGCGCAGUGGAAUCCGGUGGAAACAUCGGCGCCCCUUAAAAGGCUGCUGCGGAGGUGCUGCAUGGCUGUCGUCAGCUCGUGUCGUGAGAUGUUGGGUUAAGUCCCGCAACGAGCGCAACCCUCGUCCUAUGUUGCCAGCGGGUAAUGCCGGGGACUCAUAGGAGACUGCCGGGGUCAACUCGGAGGAAGGUGGGGAUGACGUCAAGUCCUCAUGCCCCUUAUGUCUUGGGCUGCAAACAUGCUACAAUGGCCGGUACAAAGGGUUGCGAGACCGCAAGGUGGAGCGAAUCCCAAAAAGCCGGUCUCAGUUCGGAUUGGGGUCUGCAACUCGACCCCAUGAAGUCGGAGUCGCUAGUAAUCGCGAAUCAGCAACGUCGCGGUGAAUACGUUCCCGGGCCUUGUACACACGAUAGC
rnacentral:rRNA from 1 species